ACCAGGAUGGCCGAGAGGUUGAGGCGUUAGACUAAAGAUCCAAUGGAUGCAUGUCCUCGUGGGUUCGAACCACACUCCUGGUA
rnacentral:tRNA from 1 species